GUUGCGGGCGCGCAAGAGUCAAUAUGGCGGCCGUGUCCAGGCAAUUCGAGCCAGAAUUUAGCCCUACUUCCUGCCUCUCUUUUGCUCUAAAUUACUCCACCAGUGGCGCAGUGGGUCACAACCAGGAGGUGCAUGCUUCGGACUGCGAAAUAACUAACAUACCAUUUAAAUUGUAACAACCAACAGAAUAGCCUGUGGGCCUCCUGAUGCUGUUGGUGUCCAGCUCCUAUCAAUCUCCACCAGCAUAGUCAGUCUUCAGAAAUGCAGGCUUAAAUGGUGCCACACAAAGCAUAUUCCAGAGCUGGCUGCUGAAAACCAAGUCCUCCUUGGAUGACAUAAUGAGCUCAAUGCAUGGUGCUAGUUAUUAAACAGAAACAAGAACCCGUGUAUAAUUUACUAAAUUAGUUAACAGCUUUGAAUGAGGAGCCUCUGGAUAAACAAGGAGGCAGCCAUAUGGAGAUUCAGAAUAUUGAUUGAUUUUAUAUACUGCCCUAUACCCUCAGGGAAUAUUGAACCAUCUAACUGUAGUAUACUGACUGGCAGUAUAGUUUUACAGCUUUAUACAAGAUCUUUCCCAAUCCCAGUCUUAUCUGGAGAUGCCAGGGAAUUCAUCCGAGACCUUCAUCUAAGAUAUGUGCUCUGCCACUGAGCUAUAGCUUCGUUGCUGCAAAAAGGUUGUCCAAUGGUAUAAUACGGGUAUCGGCUUUCAACACUCUUCUGGAAAUGUCAGCGAUAAAUACUGGAAAUGUUGUAGGAAAAUAUGCAACUUUAUUCAGUACUUGUGGGCCUGCUGAAGAGGCAAGUAAAUAAAUGUAGAAAUUGAGAAGUAAUGUAUUGGGGCACGUGUUUGUGUGUGUACCCUUCUGCUCACCUUAUUUGAAAGCCUACAAAACAGGCUGUUUAUUGCUCGAAUAACACUGGACAGAAAUGUAAUGAAAAACCUGGAUAUAAAAGCCUAAAGUUGUUCUGCUCCAGCCCAUAAUAAUAAAUGUAACCCUAUAAAACUAUAUUUAUACAAGUGUAAAAUUUUAUAUGGCUCUAAAAUAAACUUGCUAACGUAUAUAAAAAACACAAACAGCACAAUCCCACCCCAUUAAGCAUGCUUGUGUUCCACUUAUUCUAAUAAAAGGGUUACCGAACAACCCAGAACACCAGUUACACUGGGAGCAGGUAGGGAGUCAUAAUACCUCUACGCCAGCAGAAUGGCUAUCAUAUCCUAUGCUCCCUCAGCCCAGGAUGGGAGAA